AAGUUGUUGCGUUUAAAAAGCUCGUAGUCUGAGGUCUGUUCCGGACUGGCUGGGGAGGUCACCGCCCGGUGCUUCCCCGUCAGGUUCCGAACAGCUUCUGCCGCGAGCGGAAGCCAUGCCGGUUCUGUCGGGGUGCUCUUGACCGAGUGUCCCGUGUGGCCGGCAGGUUCACCUUGAACAAAUGAGAGUGCUUAAAGCAGGCUACUCUUAAAACUAAAGCCUGAAUGUUAACUGCAUGGAAUGAUGAAAGAUGAUCUCGGUUCUAUUAGUACUGGGGUUAAGAACCCGAGUUAAUGAUAAACAGGGACUGUCGGGGGCAUCCGUACUACGACGCGAGAGGUGAAAUUCAGUGACCGUCGUAGGACGAACAACAGCGAAAGCAUUUGCCAAGAAUGUCUUCGUUGAUCAAGAACGAAAGUUAGAGGAUCGAAGGCGAUCAGAUACCGCCCUAGUUCUAACCCUAAACGAUGCUAACUAGCUAUUCGCCGUCGUUAUUCCCAUGACGUGGCGAGACGCCCCCGGGAAACCUCAAGUCUUUGAGUUCCGGGGGUAGUAUGGUUGCAAAACUGAAACUUAAAGGAAUUGACGGAAGGGCACCACCAGGAGUGGAGCCUGCGGCUUAAUUUGACYCAACACGGGAAACCUCACCAGGCCCGGACACCAGAAGGAUUGACAGAAUGAGAGCUCUUUCUCGAUUUGGUGGGUGGUGGUGCAUGGCCGUUCUUAGUUGGUGGAGUGAUUUGUCUGGUUAAUUCCGGUAACGAACGAGACUCUGGCCUACUAACUAGUGGAUGGGUGUCCUGGUAACGGGCCCCAUCCGAUAAGGUCUUCUUAGAGGGAUGAGCAGCGAGUAUAGCUGCAGGAGAUUGAGCAAUAACAGGUCUGU
rnacentral:rRNA from 1 species